UUUCCGUAGGUGAACCUGCGGAAGGAUCAUUCAUAAUAAAGUGUUUUAUGGCACUUUUUAAAAAUCCAUAUCCACCUUGUGUGCAAUGUUAGAUCUCGUCAAUCUUGGCGAGAUUUUUAUACAUCAACUCAUUCUUUAACUAAUUUGUCUGAAAAAUAUUAUGAAUACUUAAUUCAAAUUACAACUUUCAACAACGGAUCUCUUGGCUCUC
rnacentral:misc_RNA from 1 species